UACGUAGGGUGCAAGCGUUGUCCGGAUUUAUUGGGCGUAAAGCGCGUGUAGGCGGCCAGAUAGGUCUGCUGUGAAAACUCGAGGCUCAACCUCGAGCUGUCGGCGGAAACCAUCUGGCUAGGAGUCCGGAAGAGGAGAGUGGAAUUCCUGGUGUAGCGGUGAAAUGCGCAGAUAUCAGGAAGAACACCUAUGGCGAAGGCAGCUCUCUGGGACGGUACUGACGCUGAGACGCGAAAGCGUGGGGAGCGAACAGG
rnacentral:rRNA from 1 species